rnacentral:rRNA from 1 species
AGUAAUGUAUGGGAAUCUGCCCGAUAGAGGGGGGUAACUACUGGAAACGGUGGCUAAUACCGCAUAAUGUCUACGGACCAAAGCAGGGGCUCUUCGGACCUUGCACUAUCGGAUGAACCCAUAUGGGAUUAGCUAGUAGGUGGGGUAAAGGCUCACCUAGGCGACGAUCUCUAGCUGGUCUGAGAGGAUGAUCAGCCACACUGGGACUGAGACACGGCCCAG